rnacentral:tRNA from 1 species
GGAGAAAUGGCUGAGUGGUUUAAAGCGAUAGAUUGCUAAUCUGUUGUACGGGUUUCCGUACCGAGGGUUCGAAUCCCUCUUUCUCCU